GUUCUAGGGAUACAGGGAACAAGACAAGGUUUGCUAUUCGUGGAAUUCACCUCUUAAUGGAGAAAGACAGACCACAGACAAGCAAAUAACUAUCAAUAAACAAGAGUUCCUGUGGCUCCACAUCCUCACCAGCAUUUAGUGUUGGCAGCACUCUGGAUUUUGGCCAUUCUGAUAGCGUUCCUCAUGACAUCAGGCAAGCACCUGACUGAUCCAUAAGAGACUAGAGCUAGUGGGAGUUUCGACAAUUGGUCCACAAACAGAGGACUCCCAGGUUCAUCUGGACUAAAGUCAGAGACACCUUCAAACACUUGAGGGAACCAGUUCUGGGGAUGCAGUCUGGGAAUGGGUUGGCUUAGAAUCAAGCUGAGCAAUAGGGCAUUGUUGUGAUUGGGUCGAAUUGUGUUCCUUAAAAAGAUAUGACUUAGCCUCUGAAUCUGAAUGGUAGUAGAGUCUUUGCAGAUGUAAUCAGGCUAAAAUGAGGUCAUAAUGGAUUAAAGUGGGCCUUAGUCCAAUGAUUGGUAUUCUUAUAAGAAGGGGAAAUUUGAACAUAGAGAAGGCCAUGUCAAGACGAAGUUAGCGACUGACAUGAUGCAUCUACAAGCCAAAGAUUGCCAACAACCAUGAGAGGCUGGGAAGAGGCAAAGAAGAAUCCUCUCCCAGAGCCUUCAGCAAGACCAUGGCCCCACUGCCCACUUGAUUUCUGGCUUCUAGCCUCCAGAAAUGUGAGAGAAUAAAUUUCUUGUGCUUAAAAUCACCCAGUUUGUGGUAUUUUGUUAGAGCAGCCCAAGGAAACGAAUACAGGCACCUCCUCCUUUACCAAACAAUAGCAAUGGUUGGUGUUGGGGGAUAAAAAUAAUGGACAAGUUCUCAGACUCUCUCAUCUCUUGGAGGGUCCUAGCUCCACUCUCCUUGGUCUCUCCCGAGCCCCUCCUCUGAGGAAAGGAGCGUCGCUCUAUCAGCCAUUCUUGAGAUACAACUCAGGGGAAGAGAGGAGGGCAUGGAAAACAGCCAAGGGCAGGAGAGGCUGAGAGCCGGUGGAGAGCAGAGGCAUCUGCGGCAGGUGAGAGCGAUGGCGAGAGAAGGCAGAAAGAGAAGUGUGAG